rnacentral:sRNA from 2 species
GCGGGCAUCGCGCUGAGUCCGGGGCCAUUCGUGGUCCCGGAGCCGGGGAACCAACCACAUCUGGGGUGAAUCCCGCACGAGGUGCGCGUACGACGACCCGAUCGGGUCGGCGGACACGCGAGGAGUGCGGGUAGGGCAAGUCGUGCCCGAACCCGUCAGCUCACCCGGUAGGCGUACGACACCGCAAAG